rnacentral:rRNA from 1 species
GAUGAACGCUGGCGGCGUGCCUAAUACAUGCAAGUCGAGCGAACAGACGAGGAGCUUGCUCCUCUGACGUUAGCGGCGGACGGGUGAGUAACACGUGGAUAACCUACCUAUAAGACUGGGAUAACUUCGGGAAACCGGAGCUAAUACCGGAUAAGAUAUUGAACCGCAUGGUUCAAUAGUGAAAGACGGAUUUGCUGUCACUUAUAGAUGGAUCCGCGCCGCAUUAGCUAGUUGGUAAGGUAACGGCUUACCAAGGCAACGAUGCGUAGCCGACCUGAGAGGGUGAUCGGCCACACUGGAACUGAGACACGGUCCAGACUCCUACGGGAGGCAGCAGUAGGGAAUCUUCCGCAAUGGGCGAAAGCCUGACGGAGCAACGCCGCGUGAGUGAUGAAGGUCUUCGGAUCGUAAAACUCUGUUAUUAGGGAAGAACAAAUGUGAAAGUAACUAUGCACGUCUUGACGGUACCUAAUCAGAAAGCCACGGCUAACUACGUG